rfam:Stegodyphus mimosarum contig110832, whole genome shotgun sequence.
GUCUUCGUGGUGUAGUGGUCAGCACGCUCGACGCGUAACCGAGAGGUCCGUGGUUCGAUUCCCGGCGAAGGCG